rnacentral:rRNA from 1 species
CCUACGGGAGGCAGCAGUGAGGAAUAUUGGUCAAUGGGCGGAAGCCUGAACCAGCCAAGUAGCGUGCGGGAUGAAGGCCCUACGGGUCGUAAACCGCUUUUUCCCGGGGCUAACAUGCUCCCCUUGUGGAGGUCUGCAGGUACCGUGCGAAUAAGGGCCGGCCAAUUCCGUGCCAGCAGCCGCGGUAAUACGGAAGGCCCGAGCGUUUUCGGGAUUCUUUGGGCUUAAAGGGAGCGUAGGCGGGCGUUAAAGACAGCUGUAAAAUCGCGCGGCUCACCGGCGCCCCGCCGUUGAUACUGGACGCCUUGAGUUCGCAUCAGGCGGGAGGAAUUCGUGGUGUAGCGGUGAAAUGCAUAGAUAUCACGAGGAACCCCGAUUGCGAAGGCAGCCUGCCGGGGUGCGACUGACGCUGAGGCUCGAAGGUGCGGGUAUCAAACAGGAUUAGAUACCCCGGUAGUC